GAUAAACGCUGGCGGCGUGCCUAAUACAUGCAAGUCGAGCGAGGUUCUUCGGAACCUAGCGGCGGACGGGUGAGUAACACGUGGGUAACCUGCCUGUAAGACCGGGAUAACUUCGGGAAACCGAAGCUAAUACCGGAUACUUUCGAGCAUCGCAUGAUGCUUGAUGGAAAGACGGUUUCGGCUGUCACUUACAGAUGGACCCGCGUCGCAUUAGCUAGUUGGUGAGGUAACGGCUCACCAAGGCGACGAUGCGUAGCCGACCUGAGAGGGUGAUCGGCCACACUGGGACUGAGACACGGCCCAGACUCCUACGGGAGGCAGCAGUAGGGAAUCUUCGGCAAUGGGCGAAAGCCUGACCGAGCAACGCCGCGUGAGCGAUGAAGGCCUUCGGGUCGUAAAGCUCUGUUGUUAAGGAAGAACAAGUACGAGAGUAACUGCUCGUACCUUGACGGUACUUAACGAGAAAGCCACGGCUAACUACGUGCCAGCCGCCGCAGUAA
rnacentral:rRNA from 1 species